UACGUAGGGGGCUAGCGUUGUCCGGAAUCAUUGGGCGUAAAGCGCGUGUAGGCGGCCCGGUAAGUCCGCUGUGAAAGUCGGGGGCUCAACCCUUGAAAGCCGGCCGAUACUGUCGGACUAGAGUCCGGAAGAGGCAAGUGGAAUUCCCGGUGUAGCGGUGAAAUGCGCAGAUAUCGGGAGGAACACCUAUGGCGAAGGCAGCUCGCUGGGACGUUACUGACGCUGAGACGCGAAAGCGUGGGGAGCAAACAGG
rnacentral:rRNA from 1 species